rnacentral:rRNA from 1 species
GAUGAACGCUGGCGGUGCGCCUAAUGCAUGCAAGUCGAGCGACGCACUCCGGAGGGGUAACCCACUGGAAUGACGGAGCGGCGAACGGGUGAGUAUCACGUGAGCAACCUGCCCCGCAGACCGGGAUAGCCCAGGGAAACCUGGAUUAAUACCGGAUACCCUCGGGGGACCGCAUGGUCCAUCGAGGAAAGGCCUUUGUGCUGUGGGAUGGGCUCGCGACUUAUCAGCUAGUUGGUGGGGUAACGGCCUACCAAGGCAUUGACGAGUAGCUGGUCUGAGAGGACGAUCAGCCACACUGGAACUGAGACACGGUCCAGACUCCUACGGGAGGCAGCAGCAGGGAAUCUUGCGCAAUGGGCGAAAGCCUGACGCAGCGACACCGCGUGGGGGAUGAAGGCCUUCGGGUUGUAAACCCCUUUCAGGAGGGAAGAAAUUGACGGUACCUCCACAAGAAGGACCGGCCAACUACGUG